rnacentral:lncRNA from 1 species
CACAGGAUAACCAGACCAAAGGUUACAGACACCCAAAAGCUGUCUUUACACUCAGCUCACAGUGACAUCUCUGAUGUCAGAGGCAAUGUGCCCUGGAUCAGAGGUGACUGAAUCUCAGUGGGAGCCAUGACCACCUUACUCAGCAAACAUCACGUCCUUGAAAUAAUAUGUGUGUCUUUCAGGCCCCUGAAAAGCACACCUACGGGACUUAAAGCCGAACUGUGCUGCUGGGAUGUGUCUUAGAGGAAAAUUAUCUUCAAAUCAGAGAUGGGAGAACAGACCUGUCAGGAAGGAUUUACAGCAAAGAUGAGGAAGUAGCGACAUGGAAGAGCUCUCGGCUGCUUUGUGUGAGACUCCUCAGGCCCAGACGACUCACGCUUCACAAUAAUGAGAAAGCGUAAGUUAUGAUUGCUCAUUGUAACAUCUGUGAGGAGUCUCGGGGAGAGAAAUUAAAUGACG